rnacentral:rRNA from 1 species
GUGCCAGCAGCCGCGGUAAUACGUAGGGUGCGAGCGUUAAUCGGAAUUACUGGGCGUAAAGCGUGCGCAGGCGGUUAUUUAAGCCAGACGUGAAAGCCCCGGGCUUAACCUGGGAAUGGCGUUUGGGACUGGAUAGCUAGAGUACGGCAGAGGGAGGUGGAAUUCCACGUGUAGCAGUGAAAUGCGUAGAGAUGUGGAGGAACACCGAUGGCGAAGGCAGCCUCCUGGGCCAGUACUGACGCUCAUGCACGAAAGCGUGGGGAGCAAACAGGAUUAGAUACCCUCGUAGUCC